UGAAUACGAGACGCUACGGCGUCGAAGCAGUCUAUGUCAUACUUCCAAGAAAAGCUUGCACUGUCAUAAACAAAUAAUGCCUGUACCAUAACCGACACAGGUGGGUAGGUAGAGUAUACUAAGGGGCGCGAGAUAACUCUCUCUAAGGAACUCGGCAAAAUGACUCCGUAACUUCGGGAGAAGGAGUGCCUUAUUUAUAAGGUUGCAAUAACAAGAUCCAAGCAACUGUUUAUCAAAAACACAGGUCUCCGCUAAGUCGCAAGACGAUGUAUGGGGGCUGACGCCUGCCCAGUGCCAGAAGGUUAAAGAAGUUGGUUAGCAUUAGCGAAGCUGAUAACUGAAGCCCUGGUGAACGGCGGCCGUAACAAUAACGGUCCUAAGGUAGCGAAAUUCCUUGUCGGGUAAGUUCCGACCCGCACGAAAGGCGUAAUGAUUUGGAUACUGUCUCGGAGAGGGACUCGGUGAAAUAGACUUGUCUGUGAAGAUGCGGACUACCUGCACCAGGACAGAAAGACCCUAUGAAGCUUUACUGUAACCUGAAAUUGAAAUUGGACUUUAUUUGCGCAGUAUAGGUGGGAGGCAUUGAUAAUAUUCUUGCGGGAAUGUUGGAGCCAUCAGUGAGAUACCACUCUUGUAAUGUUAGAUUUCUAACUUUGUAUCAUUAUCUGGUCAAAGAACAGUUUCAGGCGGGCAGUUUGACUGGGGCGGUCGCCUCCCAAUUGGUAACGGAGGCGCACAAAGGUUUCCUCUGAACGGGUAGAAAUCGUAUCUAGAGUGUAAAGGCAUAAGGAAGCUUGACUGUGAGACCUACAAGUCGAGCAGGGACGAAAGUCGGUCUUAGUGAUCUGACGGUGCUGAGUGGAAAGGCCGUCACUCAACGGAUAAAAGUUACUCUAGGAUAACAGGCUGAUCUCCCCCAAGAGUUCACAUCGACGGGGAGGUUUGGCACCUCGAUGUCGGCUCAUCGCAUCCUGGGGCGGUAGUACGUCCCAAGGGUUGGGCUGUUCGCCCAUGAAAGCGGUACGCGAGCUGGGUUCAGAACGUCGUGAGACAGUUCGGUCCAUAUCCGGUGUAGGCGUUAGAAUAUUGAGAGGAGCCUUCUUUAGUACGAGAGGACCGAGAAGGACAUACCUCUGGUGUACCAGUUAUCGUGCCAACGGUAAACGCUGGGUAGCUAUGUAUGGAGAGGAUAACCGCUGAAAGCAUCUAAGUGGGAAGCCCACCUCAAGAUAAGUA
rnacentral:rRNA from 1 species